rnacentral:rRNA from 1 species
GUGCCAGCCGCCGCGGUAAGACGAACCGUGCGAACGUUGUUCGGAAUCACUGGGCUUAAAGGGUGCGUAGGCGGGGUGGCAAGUCUGUGGUGAAAUCCUCCGGCUCAACCGGAGAACUGCCGUGGAUACUGCUACUCUCGAGGGGUGUAGGGGCAUGUGGAACUCAGGGUGGAGCGGUGAAAUGCGUAGAUAUCCUGAGGAACGCCGGUGGCGAAAGCGACGUGCUGGACACCUUCUGACGCUGAGGCACGAAAGCCAGGGGAGCGAACGGGAUUAGAUACCCGCGUAGUCC